rnacentral:rRNA from 1 species
GAACGAGGAUAUAUCCUUCGGGAUAUAAGCCGAGUGGCACAAGGGUGAGCAAUGCAUAGAUUACCUACCUUUAGGAUAAGGGCAACUUUGUGAAAACGGAGCUAAUACUUAAUAAUACAAAAGAAAAUAAUUUUCUUUUGUCAAAGGGAGGGUAGCAAUACCUUUCGCCUAGAGAGGGGUUUAUGUCCUAUCAGCUUGUUGGUGGGGUAAUAGCCUACCAAGGCGAAGACGGGUAGCCGGUUUGAGAGGAUGGUCGGCCACACUGGGACUGAGACACUGCCCAGACUUCUACGGAAGGCUGCAGUCGAGAAUCUUUCGCAAUGCCCGAAAGGGUGACGAAGCGACGCCGCGUGGGUGAAGAAGGCCUUCGGGUUGUAAAGCCCUGUCAGGAGUUAUGAAAUGUAAGUGCGCUAAUAUCGUGCUUAUUUGACAAAGGCUCCAAAGGAAGCCACGGCUAACUCUGUGCCAGCAGCCGCGGUAAUACAGAGGUGGCGAGCGUUGUUCGGAAUUAUUGGGCGUAAAGAGCACGUAGGUGGGUUUGCAAGUCAGAUGUGAAAGCCUUCUGGUCAACGGAAGAAUUGCAUCUGAAACUGCUAAUCUUGAGUAUAGGAGGGGAGAAUGGAACUUCUGGUGGAGCGGUGAAAUGCGUAGAUAUCAGAAGGAACGCCGGCGGCGAAAGCGAUUCUCUGGCCUAUUACUGACACUCAGUGUGCGAAAGCUAGGGGAGCAAACGGGAUUAGAUACCCCGGUAGUCCUAGCCGUAAACGAUGGGCACUAAGUAGAGGGAAUUACCUAUAUUCUCUCUGCCGUAGCUAACGCAUUAAGUGCCCCGCCUGGGGAGUACGGCCGCAAGGCUAAAACUCAAAAGAAUUGACGGGGGCUCGCACAAGCGGUGGAGCAUGUGGCUUAAUUCGAUGCAACGCGAAAAACCUUACCGGGGCUUGACAUGAUAGAAGUAGGAACCUGAAAGGGGGACGAACGGUAUCCAGUCCGUAGCUAUUACAGGUGUUGCAUGGCUGUCGUCAGCUCGUGUCGUGAGACGUUGGGUUAAGUCCCCUAACGAGCGAAACCCUUGUUUUUAGUUACCAGCGGGUUAUGCCGGGUACUCUAGAAAGACUGCCGUCGUCAAGACGGAGGAAGGUGGGGAUGACGUCAAGUCAUCAUGGCCCUUAUGCCCCGGGCUGCACACGUGCUACAAUGGUCGGUACAGACGGAAGCGAAGCCGAGAGGUGAAGCGAAUCCUAAAAAGCCGAUCUCAGUUCGGAUUGGAGGCUGAAAUUCGCCUUCAUGAAGUUGGAAUCGCUAGUAAUCGCGGAUCAGCAAUGUCGCGGUGAAUAUGUUCCCGAGCCUUGUACACACCGCCCGUCAAGCCACCCAAGCAGGAUGCACCCGAAAACAUUAUAUCUAACCAGGGCAACUUGGAGGAAAAUGUUGAAGGAGUGUUUUGUGA